rnacentral:rRNA from 1 species
AUUGAACGCUGGCGGCAUGCUUUACACAUGCAAGUCGAACGGUAACAGGCCUUCGGGUGCUGACGAGUGGCGAACGGGUGAGUAAUGCAUCGGAACGUGCCCAAUCGUGGGGGAUAACGUAGCGAAAGUUACGCUAAUACCGCAUAAGCCCUGAGGGGGAAAGUGGGGGACCGCAAGGCCUCACGCGAAUGGAGCGGCCGAUGUCAGAUUAGCUAGUUGGUGGGGUAAAGGCCCACCAAGGCGACGAUCUGUAGCGGGUCUGAGAGGAUGAUCCGCCACACUGGGACUGAGACACGGCCCAGACUCCUACGGGAGGCAGCAGUGGGGAAUUUUGGACAAUGGGCGCAAGCCUGAUCCAGCCAUGCCGCGUGCGGGACGAAGGGCCUUCGGGUUCGUAAACCGCGUUUCAGCCGGAAAGAAAGUACGACCGUUUUUAAUUACUAGACGGUGGAGUGACGGUAC